AUUUUCUAGACUCUCACCACGGUUUGUAAAUUCCUUCCUUGGUGACAUCAGCCUGCAGAAGCUACAGUCCCCACAUGGAUAAGACCCAACCGUUCUAAGCCAGGCUUCCCGUCACAGCAGCUGUCAUCCAAUCAGCUGAUGGACUUCUUUCCGCCGCUUUACAGCUGACCAAUAGAACAGCUGACUCCAAGACACCUGUAGACCAGCUGGAACCGGAUUUUCUCC